UUUCCCUCCACAUGAAACACUGAUUCCAAAGACUUCAUCCACUCCAAGACUCAGGGCCCAAUUUUACCUUCUUUUAAAGCAAUUGAGACAAAACCUGGCUACAAUAAAGCAGAACAUACUCCAGUUACUUCUUUGGACAACAACCCUACAGAUACAUCUAAUUCAGAGAUUGCUCCUGCCUGGACUGAUGAUGAUUCUGGACCUCAAGGAAAGAAGAUUUCCCUAAAUCCUUCUGUUCGCCUGAAGGCAGAGAAACUGGAAAUGGCUCUCAAUUACCUCGGUAUUCAGCCAACAAAGGAACAACAUGAAGCCCUGAGACAGCAAGUCCAGGCUGACUCAAAGGGGACAGUGUCUUUUGGAGGUAAUGUCUUCAGUGCAUCAUGUUGUAUUAUCACAGACAGUUGGUGAAAGUUAUUGUGACCCAUUUUCAUUAAGAGAGCUUGUUCCUCAGAGGGAGAAUGAAAACUCACACCAUGCUACUUGCAAAUUCCUUAACAGGUACUUUAAAAACAGCUAUUGAUACUAACCUGGCUGGAUCAGCAAAAGAGAGACCUGUAUCAGGACCCAUUAGCUCUAGAUAUCAUUAGUCUAUCACG